UGCGAGGACGGCCAGACUUGAGACCGGGAGAGGUGUAGGGUACCUGCGGGGUAGGGGUAAAAUCCUGUCAUCCCGUAGGGACCACCUGUUGCGAAGGCGCUACACUAGAACGGAUCUGACGGUCAGGGACGAAGCCUAGGGGCACGAACCGGAUUAGAUACCCGGGUAGUCCUAGGUGUAAACGCUGUGGACUUGGUGUCGGGGAUCUCUAGAGGAUUCUCGGUGCCGUAGUGAAGAUGUUUAGUCCACUGCCUGGGGAGUACGGUCGCAAGGCUGAAACUUAAAGGAAUUGGCGGGGGAGCACUGCAACGAGAGGAGCGUGCGGUUUAAUUGGAUUCAACGCCGGAAAACUCACCAAAGCCGACUGUUAGAUGAGGACCAGCGUAAUGAGCUUGUCGGAUUUUCAGAGAGGUAGUGCAUGGCCGUCGUCAGUUCGUACCGUAAGGCGUUCUGUUAAGUCAGAUAACGAACGAGACCCCUAUCGUCAUUUGCUAACCCUUUCUCCGGAAAGGGCGCACUAUGGCGAGAUCGCUGGCGUGAAGUCAGAUGAGAGCGGGGGCAACGGUAGGUCAGUAUGCUCCGAAUGCUUUGGGCUACACGCGCGCUACAAAGGACGGGACAAUGGGCAGCUACACCGAGAGGUGACGCUAUCCCGAAACCCGUUCGUAGUUCGGAUCGUGGGCUGUAACUCGCCCUCGUGAAGCUGGAUUUCGGUAGUAAUCGC
rnacentral:rRNA from 1 species